CCUGUACUACUUACUUUUAAAAUGUGUGGCUUAACAAGUAGGAUUUGGCUGAUGAGGAUGGAUGCAUGGAAGGACCAUUCAAGUGAAUGAAUGAACAAAGGAGCAGAGGAGAAGGAUUGAAGCUAUAAGAAGAGUUGGUGGCACACAGCCUUUCAUACUGUGGGCUACUGGUUAGCGAACUCUAGGAUAAAGG